GAUGAACGCUGGCGGCGUGCCUAAUACAUGCAAGUCGAGCGAAUGGAUUGAGAGCUUGCUUUUAUGAAGUUAGCGGCGGACGGGUGAGUAACACGUGGGUAACCUGCCCAUAAGACUGGGAUAACUCCGGGAAACCGGGGCUAAUACCGGAUAACAUUUUGAACCGCAUGGUUCGAAAUUGAAAGGCGGCUUCGGCUGUCACUUAUGGAUGGACCCGCGUCGCAUUAGCUAGUUGGUGAGGUAACGGCUCACCAAGGCAACGAUGCGUAGCCGACCUGGGAGGGUGCUCGGCAACAAUUGGACUGAGACACGGCCCAGACUCCUACGGGAGGCAGCAGUAGGGAAUCUUCCGCAAUGGACGAAAGUCUGACGGAGCAACGCCGCGUGAGUGAUGAAGGCUUUCGGGUCGUAAAACUCUGUUGAUAGGGAAGAACAAGUGCUAGUUGAAUAAGCUGGCACCUUGACGGUACCUAACCAGAAAGCCACGGCUAACUACGUGCCAGCCGCCGCCGUAA
rnacentral:rRNA from 1 species